GGUGACCUUUCCCCGGAGCCCGGGGUGGGUGGGGGAGGGCUGCGGACAGAGCGCGGGUCGGCACUGGCCCCGGAGCCCCACUCCCUGCGUCCUGGCCGUAGGAUCCUGGACGAGCUGUGUCCCCUCUCUGGGACUCAGUUUCCUCUCCGGGAAAAGGUGAGGAGGCUCUCUGAUAGCGUUCUUCAGGGAUUCAACGGCGAGAUGUGUAGAAAGCCCGCAACUGCUGCCGCUGCUGCUGUUGUCACUGCUAUUAAUUAGUGAGAAACAGAGCAGGAUCGCAAGAGGCGGAGGGCGGGACAGGCCUCCCGGCCGGAAGGAACUGCGUGCGAUUCAGGACACGCGCAUGCGCGCUGAACAAGGAACCUGGGGCGCGGCAGCCUCCGCGGACGCUCCCCUGCCCGGGAGCUGCUCAGCAAGGGCCACAGCACAGGUAUCCCUGCACCAGAUGUGGCUUCAGGACUCCCUUCUCACAGGAGAAACAAGAGUGGAAAUAACACUCGAACGUCUGGGUGCUGCCAGUGUUGCUGGUCCAAGGACCACACUUUGAGGACCACCGUCUUAGGGGAUUCACUCGGGGGACAUCCUCCUGCUGGAAACCCAGGUUGGAAAAACGCCACCGUAUCCCUCGGGAGUAUCACCAGUGCCUCCCAGCACCGACAGUGGAAGGUUCUUCGGCAUAUCUGACCUGAAUCUCUGCUGCUGCGUUGCUCCUCGGCCACGGUGGAGACAGUCCGAGGAUUCCAGGGACCCCACUGCCGAAGCCAAGCCUCUAAAAAAGCUCCCCUGCACCACCUCCCUCGUAUCGCUGCUUGAUAAAGAAACGGAGGCUAGAGAGCAGAGGAAACGACUCAUCCAAGGUCACACAGACAAGACCCAGACAUUUGAUGGUCCCUGAGAGGGAAAAUGCCACAGCCAAGCCACAGAGGACAGAAGCCACGUUAGCUCUGACACCCGCCAGCUCGGGCUCCCCUUCUCUCUGCGGAGCCCCUGGGGCCCCGCCCCUACCAGAUGCUUUCAGAUGCUUCUCUACCCGCUGCAAGGAAUCUGCUCACCUCUCCUGAGCCAGGAAAGCGUGCCCAGGGGAUCUCUGCAUGUGGUCUGGAACAAGUUCCCUCCUCCCUGAGCCUCUGUCUCCCUGUCUGUAAAGUGGGAGGGCUAGGCUAGAAUUCGGGGUCCCCCAAGCGCAGGCCCAUCUGAGCCAGGUGAGGAAUGCAUAGCAGACACCGUGAUUCACCUGGCAGGAGAAUCAUUCUUGCCUUAGCCCCCUUUCUCUCCUGGCUCCCCAGCCGUCUGACACUUGUCCCCCCCGUUCAGCCGAGUUCAGAGCUGGCGCCAGGCACACGCUCCGAUCGCAUAAGGUGUUUUGUUGCCUUUCUUUUAAGGUAAACUUCCGUUUAGAGCAAA